ACUUCCUGAAAAGUUGCUGACUUCCUGAAAAGUUACUGACUUCCUGAAAAGUUGCUGACUUCCUGAAAAGUCACUGACUUCCUGAAAAGUUACUGACUUCCUGAAAAGUUACUGACUGAUAUAACCAAGUGUGUGGAAGUAAUUUUACCAAGUUUUGACCAAAGCAGAGACACAUUUUUGGUCACUAAUUUGGUGCAGAAACUGAGUGUGAGCUGAGUAGAAGAAAGCCGACUCCAAAAAGUCUUCAAGUCUUGGUAAAGUUUCUCCCAGCCGUCUUCAGCAGCAUCUUAAGAGGGAUCUUCCCGCUAAAGAUCCGCUCUCUCCAUCUCCGGGAUAGUCUUAAGAACCUGACAAAGAAGUUUUGCGAGGGUCGUCUGCGCUUCGGUGAUAAAACCAAAAUCUUCCGAGAAACUGACACAAACGUCUUGGGGAUUACCAAGGAGGUAAAAAGAAGUGUCUUGAGAUUACCAAGAAAGUGAAAGGAGCAUCUUGGGAUUAUAUUGGAAGAAGUGGGAGCUUCCUUGGGAUUGAGGACUCCUCUAUCAACAUCAGUGUCUUGUAAGAUUGGACUUUUGCCGAAACGUCUGAAGAUUCCGGGGGAAAUCGUCUCAUCAGCGCUCCGAGCCCCUUUAAGACGUGGCUGAAGGAACCGACCGUAUCAUCUCCUGAGGAGCUUUCCCUGCUGCUAAGACGUUCAUCACUUUUACUUAAGAACCAGCCAGGAGGGUCUGAUAACAUCGCACCUCUGGCACAAACUCUCACUUUCACUGUGUGCAGGAAGUUGCUACGUCAGAAAGCACCGUUCACAGAAACCCAGCCUUAAGGGUUGAUAACAUCAAACUGCUGCCACAAACUCUGUGGAAAGUUUCUACAUCAAAAAUCAUCAACAAGAACCAACCCAGAAGGGUCGGAUAAGAUCACACUACAAUUGGAAAAACCUCCUGGUGUGUUUGGAACAUUCAACAACAAACUCUUACAGUUUCACUUUGUGUGUGAAAAGCUGCUACGUCAGAAAGCCUGAUACCUGGAAUUUGAUACCAUCGAACUAUUAACUAAAGUUCUGGAGUUUCACUGAGUGUGUGGAUAGUUAUUUCAGCAAUCAGCAGACAACAGAUAUUAGUGCAAACUUGGAGAGUUUUGUCAAAGCGUGCAGCUAAACUAGCUUCAUCCUCAAAUGCUUUACAGACUCAACUGUACCGAGCACUGGAUCAGUUAAUUCACUGCCUAACAAGAAACUGCUGAGUUUUUCAUUACUUGAGGGAUCAACGACACAAUUGAGAUACUGUAUUGGCACAAUCUUGGAGAGUUUCAUCAAGGGUGCAGCUAAGGUCGCAGUUCUUCAACAAGCGCCAGACAUUCUCAGCUGCACUUUCUAUAGGAUCAGUUCGUUAGUGCGCUAACGAGGAAGCGCUGAGUGAGCGGAUACCUGCCCCCGUCCGCUGGGAUCCCACUGCAGGAUUGUGUGUUAUUAGCGAGCUGACGUGUCUUCAAGAAUCCUCACAACUCGGAAGGAGUUACCUCAGACGACGAUUGCAUCUCCGCACAUUAAAGACACUCAACCUCGUGCAGAACGAUUAUUACAUCUCCUCUGUGCAUUAACGAAUCGGCAGAAGUCAUUAACGAACUCCGGAAGUGAUUCAUCACCUGUGAAGUAAAAAGCUUCAUGUAGAAAAUCAUUAGAAAUCAAAGCUUACGAGGGAGUCUUUUAGGGACCGUCCAUUAGUGUGAUCGAGUAGGGAAUCUACGUGGGACAUAUAACUGGUUGUAGACUCAGCGUGAUUAGAAGACCAUCGUUACUGAACCCCCCCCAUUCCGGCUUGUCGAGUAGUGAUUACCACAAGCCUCCAGAAGCAGUAUUGUAGCCUGUAGCGCCCCCCGUCUUGUCCAAAGUCAACAUUCUGCCGCUGACAGAGAAAACCUCCCAGAAGCCACCUCUGGAAUAUCUGAUCUCCGACUCCGGUGACGUUCUUUACCUGGUAACCGACGGCAACCAUCCGGUCCUCAUGAUGAACCGCGACACGACCAUGUACAGUCUGUCCGACAUCGACGACCUUGCGCCGAAACCCUCCGACAUUGAGGUGUUUGCUGGGAACUCCACGUUCCACGGGAUUAACCACGUGUUCACGUCGGGGCGCUGUAGCGUUCGCCGCGUGCUGUGGGGCCUCUAUUGUAGCCUGUAGCGCCACCCGUCUAACUCUGCCCUACC